GGGGAUUUAGAGGUGGACGCUUCGGGGUCACCCUCUGGGCUGCCACACAGGAGGUCAGGACGUCGGGCCAGCUGGUGGGGGCACUGAAGGAGCAGCCUCAGCCCAGUGGGAGGGGCCGCCCUCUUCCCUCAGGGACAGCAGCCUGCAGGUCCCCCUUAUGGUCCAGGCCGCGCUGCCUAACUCGGCUCCCCUGGACCAGCCCUGGAAGACGGGGGCCAUGCCCCCGCCUAGGUACGCGGUGCCGAGUGGCGCCCUGCUCUGUGGCAGCGGGUCCUGUCCCCGUGGUGCGGCACUGUCCAGGGGUGAGAGGCUGAGGCAGGGGAGGCCUGCAGCCCCGCGGUCGACCGUGCCCCAGUGCCCUUGACCCGGCUCGGGGUGGACGUGCCCGCUGCCCUCCAGGACAGGUGGCUCCUUCUCCCCACCUUGCCCCCACCGUAGGGUUUCCCUGGAGACGCUCCCGAGGGGCCGCCCUCCCUGCUGACCCCUCCCCAUCCUGCAGUGCAGGGCAGGGGCCUCGGCUCCGCCGUGUUCCCUCCAGGAUCUGCUCAGGGUGGUGACGAUGCCACUCCUGCCUGAUGGGGAGGAGCCCCUGGACGGGGCCUGGGUGACCCGCUACCUGGGGGCCAGCUGCUGCGACCUCUCCGGGUGCUGUCCCAGGCUGACGCGCUGGCCACCUACAGCUGACCUCCCCGGAGUCAUCGCAGUGCUGGCCCAGUGGUCACUGGCCUUCCCGAGGUCAUGUGGGGAUACAGAUCCCGAUCCGUGUCCAGGGCCUGGCAGUGGGGCAGGCAGAGUGGCCAAGGGCUGCAGGCCAGCCCGCCCCCAGGCCCCUGUUGCAGAAGCAGGAAGCCGAGUUCUGGUCGCAGCUGGAGGCCACUAAUUGAGUCCAGACUUGCUGGUCAGGAGGCCUUGGCUAAGGGCUCUCCAGGGACUGGAUGUGGGUCUGGGAGCCCGGGGGAGUUGUGUCCGGCGCCCUGUGUGACCAUGGAGCCUGCUCGCCGGAGCUUUUCUUUGCUCGCCGUGGCUGCCCUUGUGGGUAACAGGACCUGCUGCUGAAGCAGGCCUGGCAGGGAGCCGUCCCUCCUCCCCCCGGGGUGUGUUGACCAGGCAGCACGUUGCCACCGGAACAGAGCCGGCCUGCUCCGCCUGCCCUCCAGACCAUGUCCACCUCCGCCCAGCCCGUGGUGACUUUUGACGGGCAGGUGUGGGGCCUCCCGCUGGCCGAGACCUUUGCUCGCAGCACGCUCUGGCUGACGCUGAGCUGGAGCUCAGCCCCCCGACCCUCCUCCGCCCCAGCCUGAAGGCCAGUGCUCCCCGGGCGGAGACUCCCCAGCCCCACGUCCACGCGGCACGUUGCCUGGGCCUCGUGCUCAGUCGCCUCUGGCCCCUGCACGACUCCUCUGGGGCCAGGCACAGCUGUCCCGGCCUCCACCUGCCCCCGCCAGGAUGCAGAGGGCCACGCCCAGGAUCGACCUGACCAGCGAGGACGGCGGCUCGGUCUCCGUGCUGUGCAAGCUGGCCUCUGCAGCUGGACGCUGGCCCUCCAGGCCUGACUGCAGCCAGCCCAGAUGGCCCGGCAAAGUUAAUGACUUGUCCCGCUGCCACGGCCGCUAGCCGCAGGGGCGGGAUCUGGACGCAGGACUUUCUGACCCCCGGCCAGGCUGCCCCUGCGCGAGGCUACCCUCCCGGGGCGACUUUAUCUGGGGGCGGCCGAGGACGCCUGCAGAGCGCUAUGGGCUGACCCUGUGCACUGGGCCGUCCCCGGACUUCUCUCUGGAGUCCUGGGAGGCCAGGAAGGACAGUCAGGCCCUGGACCCCUCCCACAGUCCCCUGGGAGCAGCCUCCCUGUCGGCCUGGCCUCCCUCCUGCCCCCAGGUGUGCCUGCUGGCCUUCUGGGCACCGUGACAACGAGGCAGGCGAGGAGCUGCCCUGCCCUGCAGGUGCGGGCACUGGCCCGUCCUGCGCCCACGUGGCCCCUCUGGCAGGUUCUCACGGGUGACCACUGCUCCACACUGGGACGGUGGCCUCUCCUGCGAAGCCGACGACCCUGAGGAGUUGCCUCAAGAGCAGUUGGUGCAGCAGGGGCCUCAGUCACACGUCUGUCCCACUAGGUAUUUGGUCCCAGUGACAGAGAGCUGACGAACACGACUCAUGAACGUGACUCCCCAGAAGCUGAAGCGUGUGUUCGCCCCAACCCUGCACGUGAUCGUGCACAGCAGCAUGAGCUGUAGUCGCCCGAGCCUGGUCUCGACAGCCCCCGGGGCGCCCCUGCCUGGGAUUAGUACUUGGCAAUAAAAACUGCAAAGUAUUCACACAAGCAGUGGCUUGCAGGGACCGCAGGGCAGUGUAUGGAGGGAAACCAGCCGAUCUCCAAAGGUCACAUGCCAUCCAAUUAUAUAAAACCCUCAAAAUGAUGUUUGUUGCAGAGGUCGGGGACGGUGAGGAGGGAGGACCCUGCAGUCAAGGAAGAACUGUCCCCAGAGUGACCCUUACAUUCAUCUAAACGUAACAAAUGUCCAGGACCAUUUUGAUAAUGUACUAUAGUUAUGGACUGGAUGAAAGAUGCACAUGACCUCUGAAUUAGCUGAGCAAAUUCUUGUGAAUCUCUAUUUCCAAAUAAAAAG